rnacentral:rRNA from 1 species
AGAGUUUGAUCCUGGCUCAGGAUGAACGCUGGCGGCGUGCUUAACACAUGCAAGUCGAACGAUGAUCCGGUGCUUGCGCCGGGGAUUAGUGGCGAACGGGUGAGUAACACGUGAGUAACCUGCCCUUGACUCUGGGAUAAGCCUGGGAAACUGGGUCUAAUACCGGAUAUGACUCCUCAUCGCAUGGUGGGGGGUGGAAAGCUUUUUGUGGUUUUGGAUGGACUCGCGGCCUAUCAGCUUGUUGGUGGGGUAAUGGCCUACCAAGGCGACGACGGGUAGCCGGCCUGAGAGGGUGACCGGCCACACUGGGACUGAGACACGGCCCAGACUCCUACGGGAGGCAGCAGUGGGGAAUAUUGCACAAUGGGCGAAAGCCUGAUGCAGCGACGCCGCGUGAGGGAUGACGGCCUUCGGGUUGUAAACCUCUUUCAGUAGGGAAGAAGCCCUCUUUGGGGGUGACGGUACUUGCAGAAGAAGCGCCGGCUAACUACGUGCCAGCAGCCGCGGUAAUACGUAGGGCGCAAGCGUUAUCCGGAAUUAUUGGGCGUAAAGAGCUCGUAGGCGGUUUGUCGCGUCUGCUGUGAAAGACCGGGGCUCAACUCCGGUUCUGCAGUGGGUACGGGCAGACUAGAGUGCAGUAGGGGAGACUGGAAUUCCUGGUGUAGCGGUGAAAUGCGC